AACGAACGCUGGCGGCAGGCCUAACACAUGCAAGUCGAACGCCCGUAGCAAUACGGGAGUGGCAGACGGGUGAGUAACGCGUGGGAACGUGCCCUUCGGUUCGGAAUAACUCAGGGAAACUUGAGCUAAUACCGGAUACGUCCGUAAGGAGAAAGAUUUAUCGCCGAAGGAUCGGCCCGCGUCGGAUUAGCUAGUUGGUGAGGUAACGGCCCACCAAGGCGACGAUCCGUAGCUGGUCUGAGAGGAUGAUCAGCCACACUGGGACUGAGACACGGCCCAGACUCCUACGGGAGGCAGCAGUGGGGAAUAUUGGACAAUGGGCGAAAGCCUGAUCCAGCCAUGCCGCGUGAGUGAAGAAGGCCUUAGGGUUGUAAAGCUCUUUCAGCGGGGAAGAUAA
rnacentral:rRNA from 1 species